GCGGGUGUAAUUCAAUGGUAGAAUGGUAGCCUUCCAAGCUGCACAUGUGGGUUCGAUUCCCAUCACCCGCU
rnacentral:tRNA from 1 species